rnacentral:rRNA from 1 species
UAGGGAAUCUUCGGCAAUGGACGAAAGUCUGACCGAGCAACGCCGCGUGAGUGAAGAAGGUUUUCGGAUCGUAAAACUCUGUUGUUAGAGAAGAACAAGGACGUUAGUAACUGAACGUCCCCUGACGGUAUCUAACCAGAAAGCCACGGCUAACUACGUGCCAGCAGCCGCGGUAAUACGUAGGUGGCAAGCGUUGUCCGGAUUUAUUGGGCGUAAAGCGAGCGCAGGCGGUUUCUUAAGUCUGAUAUGAAAGCCCCCGGCUCAACCGGGGAGGGUCAUUGGAAACUGGGGGAGUUGAGGGCAGAAGAGGAGAGUGGAAUUCCAUGUGUAGCGGUGAAAUGCGUAGAUAUAUGGAGGAACGCCAGUGGCGAAGGCGGCUCUCUGGUCAGUAACUGACGCUGAGGCUCGAAAGCGUGGGGAGCAAACAGU